rnacentral:rRNA from 1 species
UACGAGGGGGGCAAGCGUUGUUCGGAAUUAUUGGGCGUAAAGGGCUCGUAGGUGGCCAACUAAGUCAGACGUGAAAUCCCUCGGCUUAACCGGGGAACUGCGUCUGAUACUGGAUGGCUGGAGUAUGGGAGAGGGAUGCGGAAUUCCAGGUGUAGCGGUGAAAUGCGUAGAUAUCUGGAGGAACACCGGUGGCGAAGGCGGCAUCCUGGACCAUUACUGACGCUGAGGAGCGAAAGCCAGGGGAGCAAACGGG